AACGAACGCUGGCGGCAUGCCUAACACAUGCAAGUCGAACGAGACCUUCGGGUCUAGUGGCGCACGGGUGCGUAACGCGUGGGAACCUGCCCUUAGGUUCGGAAUAACUCCCCGCAAGGGGUGCUAAUACCGGAUAAUGUCUUCGGACCAAAGAUUUAUCGCCUUUGGAUGGGCCCGCGUUGGAUUAGCUAGUUGGUAGGGUAAAAGCCUACCAAGGCGACGAUCCAUAGCUGGUCUGAGAGGAUGAUCAGCCACACUGGGACUGAGACACGGCCCAGACUCCUACGAGAGGCAGCAGUGGGGAAUAUUGGACAAUGGGAGAAAGCCUGAUCCAGCAAUGCCGCGUGAGUGAUGAAGGCCUUAGGGUUGUAAAGCUCUUUUACCCGGGAUGAUAAUGACAGUACCGGGAGAAUAAGAUAAGGCUAACUCCGUG
rnacentral:rRNA from 1 species